rnacentral:rRNA from 1 species
GACGUAGGGGGCCAGCGUUGUUCGGAAUUACUGGGUGUAAAGGGUUCGUAGGCGGUGUGGCAAGUCGGGAGUGAAAUCUCUGGGCUCAACUCAGAGACUGCUUCCGAAACUGCUGUGCUGGAGUGUGGGAGAGGCGCGUGGAAUUGCAGGUGUAGCGGUGAAAUGCGUAGAUAUCUGCAGGAACACCCGUGGCGAAAGCGGCGCGCUGGACCACUACUGACGCUGAGGAACGAAAGCUAGGGAGCAAACAGG